GAGCACGUAGGUGGGUUUGUAAGUCAGAUGUGAAAGCCUUCUGUUCAACGGAAGAAUUGCAUCUGUAACUGCGAGUCUUGAGUGUAGGAGGGGAGAAUGGAACUUCUGGUGGAGCGGUGAAAUGCGUAGAUAUCAGAAGGAACGCCGGCGGCGAAAGCGAUUCUCUGGCCUAUUACUGACACUCAGUGUGCGAAAGCUAGGGGAGCAAACGGGAUUAGAUACCCCGGUAGUCCUAGCCGUAAACGAUGGGCACUAAGUAGAGGGAAUUACCGAUAUUCUCUCUGCCGUAGCUAACGCAUUAAGUGCCCCGCCUGGGGAGUACGGCCGCAAGGCUAAAACUCAAAAGAAUUGACGGGGGCUCGCACAAGCGGUGGAGCAUGUGGCUUAAUUCGAUGCAACGCGAAAAACCUUACCGGGGCUUGACAUGGUAGAAGUAGGAACCCGAAAGGGUAACGAACGGUAUCCAGUCCGUAGCUAUCACAGGUGUUGCAUGGCUGUCGUCAGCUCGUGUCGUGAGACGUUGGGUUAAGUCCCCUAACGAGCGAAACCCUUGUUUUUAGUUACCAGCGGGUUGUGCCGGGUACUCUAGAAAGACUGCCGUCGUCAAGACGGAGGAAGGUGGGGAUGACGUCAAGUCAUCAUGGCCCUUAUGCCCCGGGCUGCACACGUGCUACAAUGGUCGGUACAAACAGAUGCGAAGCCGAGAGGUGAAGCGAAUCC
rnacentral:rRNA from 1 species